UACUCCGUUGCAUAUACUUAGGUAUUCUGGAGGGAUUUCUGUUUCUUCUGAAUAUGUAGGUUACUAUACGAUACUUUUCGUUUAAUUUACUUUAAUUUUACGAUUAUCAUCUGUUACCUAUCCUUCUCGGUCUGUUUGGAGCCUUCUGGUUUAGUGCAACACAAACUGGCGUAAACGAAUCAUAUCUAUGAAAUUCAAAUGAAACGAAUCACUUGGGACUUUGCAAUCAGGUGCAACGUACCGUAUUCGUGUUGAAAUUCCCUGGUAGUAUUACCAAGUUCUAUUUGUUUGGCACUACGGUCAAACACACAUAUCGGUGCUCCACACCGAUCCCUCAUACGCCACUGAGUCAAGAGAGGAGGAUGUGAUGGGCCAACAGAGGAGGACAGAUGGAAGUGCUGACCUGUUGGGGACGUGGACGUAACCUCUGCCUCAGGACCUGUCCCCUUAAACCCCCCAGAAAAUCUUCUUCGGUCCUGGAGCCAACAAACAUCCAAAAAGUUUGCAGGAGGAGAGGAGUGCCGGGGACUUGACGUGGAGCUGGUAGUGACAAGAAAGAUGGGACAGGCAGGAGGGUGCGUCCUUUGAACCUCAAGACCACGGUGAGGCCUGGACUUCUGACGAGGCGUCUCGGCCUGCGUUCCUUCCCAAGGUCAGCCGUUCCUGCGGGGUCCUCCACGCUCACAGAGCACAUUGAGAUGGCUUGCCUUGACACAGCUGUGGAGGACAGUGAUUCUUCGGCACUGAAGAGGAAACGCGAUUACCAGAGAGACAGAGACAUCCACCCAACGGCAGACAAGCCGUGUGAUUCAAUAAGUUUGUCGCGCAUGAGAUAACCUAUCGGAAAUACCCCGCUGCAAAAUAAGAAGUGGGGGAAAAGCCCCCGAAAACCUGCGGUGCAUGGAGGCACCUUGCCUGGAGAAACCGGGGCCGGUCAGCGCUCUGAAAGCAGGAAGUGUUCCUGUGGACCGUUCACACAGUCUAUUUUUGGAUGGAUGCUUGCUACACCACCGCACCUGGGUUUGGGAGUUGAUUUGUGUUCCUGUGACCUGAGCACAUAGUCACCAUUUUGGCUCAGAUUAUUGCCUUUGCCGCCUGCUGCUGAAAUGCAAUGACAGUUUAUAUUUUAUAUUUGUCUGGGAUAGGUGUAUCCAUGAGUCUACGUGUAUUAGGUCAAA